rnacentral:lncRNA from 1 species
GAUGGACUACAAUCAAGUUGUAGAAACAUCUCAAGGAUGAUCAAUGGAAACAGGAUGCAUCUGUGCUCAAUUUCGAGUCUCAUAGCAAAUGGGCUGAAUACUUAUGUAAAUAAGGUAUUUCAGUUUUUAAUUUUUUAUACAUUUGCUAAUAUUUCUAAAAUCCUGUUUUCGCUUUUGUCAUUAUGGGGUAUUGCGUGUAGAUAGAUGAGGAAAACCAUUAAUUUAAUCAAAUUUAAAAUAAGGCUGUAACAUAAUAAAAUGUGGAAACUGGCAAGGGGUCUGAAUACUUACCGAAGACACUGUAUAUAGUGUAGAUAAUAUAUUUUUUAUUGUGAAACAAACAAGAAAUACAACAAAAAAACUGAAAACUUGAGCGUGCAUAACUAUUCACCCCUCCUACUUUGUAAAGCCACCUUUUGCAGCAAUUACAGCAGAAAGUCUCUUGGGGUAUGUCUCUGUAAGCUUGGUACAUCUAGCCACUGGCAUUUUUGCCCAUUCUUCAAAGAAAAACUGCUCCAGCUCCUUCAAGUUGGAUGGGUCCGGCUGGUGUACAGCAAUCUUUAAGUCAUACCACAGAUUCUCAAUUGGAUUGAGGUCUGGGCUUUGACUAGGCCAUUCCAAGACAUGUAAUUUUUACCCCUUAAACCACUUGAGUGUUGCUUUUGCAGUAUGCUUAGGGUCAUUGUCCUGCUGGAAGGUGAACCUCCGUUCUAGUCUCAAAUUUCUGGAAGACUGACACAGGUUUCCCUCAAGAAUUUCCCUGUAUUUAGUGCCAUCCAUCAUUCCUUAAAUUUUGACCAGUUUCCCAGUCCCUGCCGAUGAAAAACAUCCCCACAGCAUGAUGCUGCCACCACCAUACUUCACCGUGGGGAUGGUGUUCACGAGGUGAUGAGAGGUGUUGGAUUUGCGCCAGACAUUGUGUUUUCCUUGAUGGCCAAAAAGCUCAAUUUUAGUCUCAUCUGACCAGAGUACCUUCUUCCAUAUGUUUGGAGAAUCUCCCACAUGCCUUUUGGCGAACACCAAAGCAAAUGCUUUUUUUCUGGCCACUCUUCCGUAAAGCUUAGCUCUGUGGAGUGUACGGCUUAAAGUGGUCCUAUGGACAUAUUCUCCAAUCUCCGCUGUGGAGCUUUGCAUCUCCUUCAGGGUUAUCUUUCGUCUCUUUGUUGCCUCUCUGAUUAAUUCCCUCCUUGCCUGGUCUGUGAGUUUUGGUGGGCGGCCCUCUCUUGGCAGAUUUGUUGUGGUACCAUAUUAAAUUUUUUUAUAAUGGAUUUAAUGGUGCUCCGUGGGUUGUUCAAAGUUACCGAUAUGUUUUUAUAACCCAACCCUGAUCUGUAAUUCUCCACAACUUUGCCCCUGACCUGUUUGGAGAGCUCCAUGAUGCUGCUUUUUUGGUGGUGCUCGUUGCUUAGUGGUCUUACGGUCUUACAGGCAUUUCAGAACAGGUGUAUAUAUACUGAGAUCAUGUGACAGAUCAUGUGACACUUAGAUUGCACACAGGUGGACUUUAUUUAACUAAUUAUGUGACUUGCACCAGAUCUUAUUUAGGGGUUUCAUAACAAAGGGGUUUCAUAACAUAUGCACACCACUUUCCGUUUUGUAUUUUUUCCAUUUCACUUCACCAAUUUGGACUAUUUUGUGUAUGUCCAUUACAUGAAAUCCAAAUAAAAAUCCACAGCGUCUGAUCCCGUCAGCGGGAUCAAAAUCCAGCGAAAAAUCAUAUCGCCAAUUAGCAUAAAAUAAAAAUCAUAAUAAAAAAAAAAAAUAAUAAUACAUAUAUUUUUUUUUAUAGAUACACCUCUCCUGAAUCGACCCACGUCGUCCGAUUUCAAAAAGGUUUUACAGGAAAAGCAAAUCAUUAGAUUAUGUUAGAUGAGUCCAUCGUAAAAAGCAGCUUCAUAGCCAUUUUCCGACCAACCACUUGCAUCACAUAUAAUCAAAAAACAGCUAAAUGCAGCACUAACCUUUUACAAACUUCAUCAGAUGGCACCCCUAGGACAUCAUGUUAUACAAUGCAUGCAUUCUUUUGUUCAAUAAAGGUCAUAUUUAUAUAUAAAAACAGCAUUUUACAUCGGCGUCUGACGUUGACUAAAUAAUUUCCCCUCAAAUGCGUCCCGGUAAACAAUGCUACAAUUCCCUAAAUACUAUCCGAUAACGAUUUUUUAAAUUUAUAUUGUCAAUCUAACAUUUAUAGAUGAAUAUCUCUUGAGAACACCUGUCAUACCAGAUUUUAAAUUAACUUUACUGGGUAAUCACACUUUGCAAUAAAAGGAGAUGCGAUACUCAGAAAAUGAGCUAAUAUACAGAGCUCGGCGCCAUCUUGGCACAAUCGCAUGUCACAUCUCAUCUUGUAUAAUAUUGUCAAUAAUCGCCUACCUUUAGUUGUCUUCAUCAGAAAGCAUCCCAGGUCCACAAC